UCUUACUCGUACUGCUCAUGGUGAAUUUGUGACGAUUCUAAACAAAAAUAAUACCGUUUAAGAUUAGUUAAAAACUCUUAUUUCGAAGUAUAUUAAUGGAAGUUGAAUGGAAGUUGUUCGACUCCGAGAUGACUGAAAUAAUCGAUUCGUUAAGUUCGUUUUGUACGCAUUUCAAAGAUGUUGAUCCUGCCGACGAUUCGACUUCGAUCGAGGUGGAAAAAUUUGACGAAAAUAAGCUGUUGUGGCCUUCGUUGAGACAGCUCGUGUUGAAAACACCCAAGUAUGUCAAUCCUGUAAUACCAAAUGAAGUUCCAAAGACCGAGAACCCUAUCUUAGCUCUGGAUGAAUUCCAAAUUCAAACGUCUCUGAAAAAUAACAUUCGCAAGGCUGGAGCUGCUCUAAUUCCAGAAGGUAGCACGACUCCUUUACAGCUGGAAAUGCUAUCGAUAAUAAACCAGUAUAAGGAUUUGUAUUAUACCGAGAGGAAUUUUGAUAAUGGCGAACAGAUUCGAUUAGUUUACUGUCUGCAUGUUUUGGAUCAUGUGCUGAAAACUCGUUCGAUAAUUAUGGCGAAUAAUGCCUCAAUUACGAGUAAAUUCGAUGUACCUGAUGAAAUGCGAGAUCAAGGAGUGGUACGACCUAGUGUACUGAUUCUGGCACCGUUUAAGGAUUCUGCUUUCAAGAUUAUCAAUAUGAUGUCGACGAUGAUGUUUCCAAAUCAAAAAGGGAACGUGAUAAAUAGAAAAAGAUUUCAAGACGAGUUCACCGGUGAAGAAAUAACUGUAUCUCAGAAGUCUUCUCGACCCGACGAUUUCUCCAAAACUUUCGCUGGAAAUAUCGACGAUAAUUUCAAAAUCGGUAUCUCUAUCACGAAGAAAAGUCUCAAACUGUAUACAGAUUUUUACCACUGUGAUAUUAUAAUAGCUUCACCUUUGGGUUUACGUAUGGUGAUUGGUUCAGAAGGAGAAUCUGAAUACGAUUACGAUUUCCUGUCUUCCAUCGAAGUAUUGAUAUUAGAUCAAGCUGAUGUGUUUUUAAUGCAGAAUUGGGAUCACGUACUGCAUAUUAUGGACCAUGUGAAUUUACAACCUCGAAAAUCUCACGAUACUGAUUUCUCCAGAGUUCGAUACUGGGCUGCAAACGGCUGGUCGAAGUAUUAUCGCCAGAAUUUAAUAUUUUGUUCUCAUCCUUCGCUUCAAAUAUCCGCAUUGGUUAGCAGAAAAUGUCACAAUUACGCUGGAUGUGCUCGAACCGCCAAUCCUGUCGCUCGAGGCACGAUUAGUCAAGUUGUUGUGUCGAUUCCACACAUAUUCCACCGGUUGACCGAUACAUCUGCUGUGAAAACUGCUGACGAAAGAUUCGAAGUAUUUACGCAGAAGUUACUUCCCCAGUGUCAGGAUAAUCUGAAGAAGGGAGUUUUGAUCUACGUACCUUCGUAUUUCGAUUUCAUUAGGUUAAGAAAUUACUUCAUCAGCGAAGCUAUAAGUUUUGCGGAUAUUUGCGAGUAUACCAAGGAUAAAAAAGUAGCUGAAGCCAGAGAUAUGUUCUUUCAUUCGGAAGUUAAUUAUUUGCUGUAUAGUGAGCGAUUCCAUUUCUUUAUGAGAAGAAGAGUUCGAGGGAUCAGACAUUUGAUAUUUUACCAGUUACCAACGUUUCCGCAUUUUUACAGCGAGUUGUGCAAUUUAAUGAACGACGCCAAUAAGAGGAUCAAAACCGAAGAAGAUAUUUGUUCUUCGAUAACUGGAAUUUACAGCAAGUUCGACGCUCCUCAACUCGCAUCGAUAGUCAGUUCUGAUCGAGCAGCUCAAAUGUUAGCUUCGAAAAAAGACGUUCAUAUGAUAAUGGUUGAAAGUACCUAAAAAAAUCAAGUUAGAUGAGCAAGAAUUUGGCUGGUGAAAUCAGAAAUGAUACUUGAAUUGGUUUCAAUUUUCACCUUAAUUUAGUUGAUAAAACCUGACUCCAACUUCCAGGAGCUGCACAUAGAUCUACUACUUUGGUGACUCCUGUUGACAAAAUUUACACAGGUCUUAGUGAUGGAAAAAAGUGAAGAAAAUUUACGCCACCUUCUAAAAUAUUGAAUUCUUCGUUGAUGUGUAGAAGUUUGAAGGCACUUCGGGCUCGCCAUCCUUCUUCUUUGGCUUGUCUGUAGUAAGUAUCACGUUUAUCCUUCGAUGCUUUACCCAUUUUACAUGGAUUUUGUGAAUUUUAGCUCGAUUUUAGAUCAUUUUUCACAAUUUUGUGAAAACACUACUCAAAAAUUAUCAAAAA